rnacentral:rRNA from 1 species
AUGCAGGGGAGGCUGCCACAGCACAGCGCGGCGUCGGAUAAAAGCAAGGGAACAAGGGAUGGUCCAAACAAAGCUUGGGCCGCGCUGCCCUCUCGCCUAAAUAAAACUCUCCCCCACGCACUCCCCCACUCACCACACCACACACCCCCAGCCACCAGCUCGCCCGCAAAGAGUGAGCUGAGGUCCAAGCCAGAGCGCGAGAGGAAGAAGCAGAGCUAG